CCUACGGGAGGCAGCAGUAGGGAAUAUUGCACAAUGGGGGAAACCCUGAUGCAGCAACGCCGCGUGGGUGAAGAAGGGCCUCGGCUUGUAAAGCCCUUUCAGUAGGGAAGAAAAUGACGGUAUCUAACGAAUAAGCACCGGCUAACUACGUGCCAGCAGCCGCGGUAAUACGUAGGGGGCAAGCGUUACUCGGAAUUACUGGGUGUAAAGGGGGCGCAGGCGGGAAAGCAAGUCAGAAGUGAAAGCCUGGGGCCCAACCCCAGGACUGCACUUGAAACUGUUGGGCUUGAGUGUAGGAGGGGCAGGCGGAAUUCGUGGUGUAGCGGUGAAAUGCGUAGAUAUCAGGAGGAAUACUGGUUGCGAAGGCGGCCUGCUGGAACACAACUGACGCUGAGGCGCGAAAGCGUGGGGAGCAAACAGGAUUAGAUACCCGGGUAGUC
rnacentral:rRNA from 1 species